AGAGUUUGAUCCUGGCUCAGAUUGAACGCUGGCGGCAUGCUUUACACAUGCGAGUCGAACGGCAGCGGGGGCUUCGGCCUGCCGGCGAGUGGCGAACGGGUGNAGUAAUGCAUCGGAACGUGCCCAUGUCGUGGGGGAUAACGUAUCGAAAGGUACGCUAAUACCGCAUACGUCCUGAGGGAGAAAGCGGGGGAUCGCAAGACCUCGCGCGAUUGGAGCGGCCGAUGUCGGAUUAGCUAGUAGGUGAGGUAAAGGCUCACCUAGGCGACGAUCCGUAGCGGGUCUGAGAGGAUGAUCCGCCACACUGGGACUGAGACACGGCCCAGACUCCUACGGGAGGCAGCAGUGGGGAAUUUUGGACAAUGGGGGCAACCCUGAUCCAGCCAUGCCGCGUGAGUGAAGAAGGCCUUCGGGUUGUAAAGCUCUUUCGGCCGGGAAGAAAUCGCGUUGGCUAAUACCCAGCGUGGAUGACGGUACCGGAAUAAGAAGCACCGGCUAACUACGUGCCAGCAGCCGCGGUAAUACGUAGGGUGCGAGCGUUAAUCGGAAUUACUGGGCGUAAAGCGUGCGCAGGCGGUUNUUUUAAGAUAGGCGUGAAAUCCCCGGGCUC
rnacentral:rRNA from 1 species